UCUUCUUUCUUCAGUUCUUCUCUUCUCCCGUUCUUCUUCCUCUGCGAGUGAUGAGAGUUGGUUUGAGAGAGAGAUACAAUUGAUGAGUUAGAGCAUGUGUACUAGAAGAUGUUGUGGGUGUUAAUGAAGAGAAGAGAGUGGUGUUGAUUAUUGAUUAUCGAUUGAUAAAGUUAGGGUUUCUCAGAGAAUUGAGUUAAAGUUCAAAUUAAUGAUGUAUAAGAGGAAUUAAAGAUUGGGUUUGGCUGAUUGAGGAAAGGGUUGGUGUUUAAUUGAUGAAGUGAAGUUGUUCUAAAGAUGAAAUGAAAGGAAAAGAUAAUUAGGGUUUAUGUUCUUCAAGAAAUAGAAAUUAGUGUUUUGGCGGUACUGAUUUGGUGAUUUAGCAAUUCAAAGGAAGUUAGUGAAUGGGUAAGUCUCUCUGUUGUUUAAAUUCCGUUUUAGAGUUGAAUCGGUGGGUUGUUAGUGUUGUGAGAAUCAAGAUAAGUGAAGAAGAAUUCAAUUCCAACUGCUUGGGUAAGAUUAUCAUAAGGUGUUGAUCAAUUGAGCGAUUUAAUGUUAAAGUUGAAGAUUAAGAAGAUGGGAAUCAUCUGUUUCAAUUUGGGAUUUAAUUUGAGGUACAAAGUUGAGUUUACUUGAGUUGGUGGCUUGAAAUGAUAGUGUGUUUUGUACAUGUUUUGGAAUGGUAGUCUUCUGAUGUUAUAGUUGUUGGUAUACUGAGAAUAGUUGCAAUGGUAUUGCAAUAAGGGCUUGAAUUUUGUUGGGAUGAAGUUAUAAAUAAUAUAAUUGUUGUAGUGUGUAUGGUGGUUUGAUUCAGUGAUGAAGAUGUAUGACUGUUAUGCAACCGAUGGUGUUGACAGGGUGCACAUGGAAGCUAGAGAAGUAAUAUGGUGGAGGUGACAUGAGCCGAAUAGAAGAGGUGGAGUUAUUAUGUUGUAGGUGCAAGUGAAUUGAGGUGUAGAUAGUGAAUCCUAGUUUAGAUGAAUGUUUUAGGAAGGUGUGCGAAUUAUUGUAGAUGAAGAGUAUGAAUGACCUGGUGGUGUUCAUUGUAAAGAGUUAGAACUGGGAUUGCAUUGCAGUUCAUGAAAAUGGUGUUAAUGCUAUGAGAAUUUUGGUUAAAUACAAGAAUUGAUCUGAGUUUAGUAUGGUGGAGAUGUAAAAGUAUGAUUGUAGAAUGAGUGAUGUUGUGAAAGCUGGGAACUGCUGAAUUGCAGGUAAACCUAGUUUAUAUUUAUAAAUGAAGUUUGAAGUUGUUUAAGAAUGAAUGAAUGAAUUUAUGUAUUUUU